UGGUGGAGUGAUUUGUCAGGUUAAUUCCGAUAACGAACGAGACUCUGUCCUGCUAACUAGGUUGUGUUUUCUCGGGUUGGUGUUUCUGGUGUUCCUUCUCGGGGCGCCGGCCCAAUCCACUUGUGAACACAACACUCUUCUUAGAGGGACUGGCGGCUGUUAGCCGCACGAGAUAGAGCAAUAACA
rnacentral:rRNA from 1 species